rnacentral:rRNA from 1 species
AUUGAACGCUGGCGGCAUGCUUUACACAUGCAAGUCGAACGGUAACAGGGUGCUUGCACCGCUGACGAGUGGCGAACGGGUGAGUAAUGCGUCGGAACGUGCCGAGUAGUGGGGGAUAACGCAGCGAAAGUUGUGCUAAUACCGCAUACGUACUGAGGUAGAAAGUGGGGGACCUUCGGGCCUCACGCUAUUCGAGCGGCCGACGUCUGAUUAGCUAGUAGGUGAGGUAAAGGCUCACCUAGGCGACGAUCAGUAGCGGGUCUGAGAGGAUGAUCCGCCACACUGGGACUGAGACACGGCCCAGACUCCUACGGGAGGCAGCAGUGGGGAAUUUUGGACAAUGGGCGAAAGCCUGAUCCAGCCAUGCCGCGUGUCUGAAGAAGGCCUUCGGGUUGUAAAGGACUUUUGUCAGGGAGGAAAUCCCUAGUGCUAAUAACACUGGGGGAUGACAGUACCUGAAGAAUAAGCACCGGCUAACUACGUGCCAGCCGCCGCAGUAAAAC